GGGCCGCACUCACCAAAGUCCAGGAACUGCUUCAUGGAGAGCGGGGACGGCGAGAAGCGCGCGUAGAAGUCCACUUGGCCCGGAACGCCGCGUUCGGGCGCCGGGCCGGAGCCUGAGUCCGAGCCUCCAGUGUGCCCGCAAUGGCUAGGUGAAAUCAACAAAAUCAUGGCAACUUAAAAGUGCAUUCAUACACAAGGCAGCUAUAAGUACGAUGAAGAACUGGAGGCCCACAGAGCUAGGUGGCUGGCCCAGGGUCCUACAGUGAGGGACGGAGGCAACUGCUAAAGUCUCUGUCACAAACACAAAAGACGACUGCCUUACAAAGCCUCUUAGACAUGCAGGUUCCCACUUCCCCUAGGCCUCUGCACAAGUCACUCUCCCCUUCUGCCAGCUGGACCACCCCCUACUUUCUGACUCCCCGUCACUGGCUGACUAACCUUCAGAUCUCAGCGUGGACAUCACUUCCUCUAGGAAGCCUCUCCUCGCCCCUCCUGGGGGUCCAACCGUAUUCCUCUCAUAACCACACUUAGCCUGCUGGGCUGUGGGCCUGACCAUCUUCCCAGGCAAAGCCGUGCCAGGGACCUCCUUGGUCGGUUCACCACUGUACUCCCCAGCAACAGCACAACACCUGACAUAAAUAUAACUGGUAGAACAGAUGAACAGAAGCAUACACGCCAACAUACACCCAAUGCACAUUUGCGCACACACAAUGUGCCAUUAUCCUUAUGCUGACACAAUAGCUGUUCCAAUAUGGAAGACCAAAAUUUAGAAAUGACAGUUUCAAUAGUAAUUUCUGUGUCCAUCUAAAGAAUUCUUAAAUGUCACGGCUGCCAAAUGGAAUGUGCCUCCAUUUUAGGCCCUCUGUGAACCUUGACAUCAUCCAUUUAUCAGUGACCUGCUAACUUCACAAUGAACCAGACGAAGGCUCACAUGCUGAGUGCCCCUCACAGCAAAAGCAGGGGAGGGUGUGGGUGCAUUAAAACCGUUUAUCUACCAAACCCACUCUAACCUUUUCUGACCCUCCAGACAGUUCACAUCAUCUUAAAAUCCUUGCCGGCCACCUUUGCUGACCUUUUGAGGGGCAAGCCAAGUAGAAUAGUCAUUAAGGCUCAAUUAUAAAUAUCUGUACGUAUGGAACACCACAUCUGAGGACUGCUGAGUUAAAACAGUCUAGUCAGACAAUAAGCUCACACUCUGACACUGGGAACAGAUUUUAGAUGUAUUAACUUCUGCAGCUUUGUGCAAGUUCUGCUUUAUUUGAUUCAGAAUUUCCCAAUACCGUGGAAGCAAAGGCAAUGAAAACAGGUUUUCUCUCAAUGUCUUCAGAAAAAAAAGUUCUAUCUAUAGUAGGCCAUCCAUAAACACUUGGUUAAUGGAGUAGUUAUAUAAUAUAAAAUUAAUUUACAUGGCAUCAAGCACAGCAUUAAAGCUAGAAGAGGGCUUCCC